CCGUGUACGUACAAGCAGUGGGAGCCUCUUUUAUGGGGUGACUGCGUACCUUUUGUAUAAUGGGUCAGCGACUUAUAUUCUGUAGCAAGGUUAACCGAAUAGGGGAGCCGAAGGGAAACCGAGUCUUAACUGGGCGUUAAGUUGCAGGGUAUAGACCCGAAACCCGGUGAUCUAGCCAUGGGCAGGUUGAAGGUUGGGUAACACUAACUGGAGGACCGAACCGACUAAUGUUGAAAAAUUAGCGGAUGACUUGUGGCUGGGGGUGAAAGGCCAAUCAAACCGGGAGAUAGCUGGUUCUCCCCGAAAGCUAUUUAGGUAGCGCCUCGUGAAUUCAUCUCCGGGGGUAGAGCACUGUUUCGGCAAGGGGGUCAUCCCGACUUACCAACCCGAUGCAAACUGCGAAUACCGGAGAAUGUUAUCACGGGAGACACACGGCGGGUGCUAACGUCCGUCGUGAAGAGGGAAACAACCCAGACCGCCAGCUAAGGUCCCAAAGUCAUGGUUAAGUGGGAAACGAUGUGGGAAGGCCCAGACAGCCAGGAUGUUGGCUUAGAAGCAGCCAUCAUUUAAAGAAAGCGUAAUAGCUCACUGGUCGAGUCGGCCUGCGCGGAAGAUGUAACGGGGCUAAACCAUGCACCGAAGCUGCGGCAGCGACGCUUAUGCGUUGUUGGGUAGGGGAGCGUUCUGUAAGCCUGUGAAGGUGUGCUGUGAGGCAUGCUGGAGGUAUCAGAAGUGCGAAUGCUGACAUAAGUAACGAUAAAGCGGGUGAAAAGCCCGCUCGCCGGAAGACCAAGGGUUCCUGUCCAACGUUAAUCGGGGCAGGGUGAGUCGACCCCUAAGGCGAGGCCGAAAGGCGUAGUCGAUGGGAAACAGGUUAAUAUUCCUGUACUUGGUGUUACUGCGAAGGGGGGACGGAGAAGGCUAUGUUGGCCGGGCG
rnacentral:rRNA from 1 species